UACAGAGGUGGCAAGCGUUGUUCGGAAUUACUGGGCGUAAAGGGCGCGUAGGCGGCCAUCUAAGUCAGGGGUGAAAUCCUGGAGCUCAACUCCAGAACUGCCUUUGAUACUGAGGAUCUUGAGUUCGGGAGAGGUGAGUGGAACUGCGAGUGUAGAGGUGAAAUUCGUAGAUAUUCGCAAGAACACCAGUGGCGAAGGCGGCUCACUGGCCCGAUACUGACGCUGAGGCACGAAAGCGUGGGGAGCAAACAGG
rnacentral:rRNA from 1 species